AACGAACGCUGGCGGCAUGCCUAACACAUGCAAGUCGAACGAACCCUUCGGGGUUAGUGGCGCACGGGUGCGUAACGCGUGGGAAUCUGCCCUUUGCUUCGGAAUAACUCAGGGAAACUUGUGCUAAUACCGGAUGAUGUCUUCGGACCAAAGAUUUAUCGGCAAGGGAUGAGCCCGCGUAGGAUUAGGUAGUUGGUGGGGUAAAGGCCUACCAAGCCGACGAUCCUUAGCUGGUCUGAGAGGAUGAUCAGCCACACUGGGACUGAGACACGGCCCAGACUCCUACGCGAAGCAGCAGAGUGGAAUAUGGUACAUGGCGCCGGACCUGUAUCAAGCAAUGCCGCGGUAGUGAGGAAGGCCCGAUGGUGGUAAAGCUCUUUCACCCGAGAGGAGAAUCACAGUACCGUGAAAGUAAGAGCAGGCUCACUCCGUG
rnacentral:rRNA from 1 species